rnacentral:lncRNA from 1 species
AUACAGGGUAAAUUUAGAUCUAUUAAAAACAUAAUUGAAAAUUCAUAGAUUUAUUGGACACAAAAUUGAAAGUUUAAGGACCAAGUAGAUACUGUUUCAAGUUUAGGAUUUUUCCAUACAGAAUUGAAAUUUUAGAGAUCAAAUAGAUACAGACCUCAAAAUUAAGGACUAAACUUACAAUUUAACCAAUUGUUAUUGAGUAUAUAGACUUAUUUUUAGGCGUAGUGCUACUAGAACGAACUGAUGACCAUAAACUCACAGGGUGACAUGAAAAGUACUAUUGUAUGGAAUCUCAUAUAGCAGAAACAUAUAACAGAAAAAUAUUUAGAUAGCUUAUAUUAUCUUUCGAAAAAUAUAAACUACAUAGUUCAAAAGAAGAUGAACGGUAAAUAGUUUGAUGCUAUAACGUUCUUAACCACACCACCUUUGAAAAUAAGUAAUCUAGAAACUUACUGGUUUCUGUUGGUGCAAAUGUGAACCGAAGUUCAAAGAUUGGUCUCUUAUUUUUUUGUCUCUUGUUGGAGAUCAUCUCUUAUAAUUUAUUUUUUAUGAAUGUUAAAAAAGUUCAUUUGUUAAUUUAGAGUCUGAAGUGAUAGAGAGAUAUAUACAGGAAGGAGUGAUAAACUGUUAGCAUGGGCAUUUUGGUCCCUCGUCCUUUUAAGUCUAGUUUACAUUUAGUCCAUAUAAUUUCACAUGUUACACGUUUACUUAAGAAUUUUGAAUUCAAAUUCCAUUUGGUCUUUAGAUUUUAAAAUGCAAGAUUUAGACUUGAGUUUUGGGUUUUGUUUCAAUGUGGUCCAAAUUUUAACAAUUUUUCUUCCUUGUUAAAUUAAAAAAAAAAUCACAAUCAUAAUUAUUUUACAUUAAUUAACUAAAACUUAACUCAAAAGCCAAAAUGGUAUUAUUGCAAGUUUUGGAGGAAAGAUUUAAAAUAUUUAAAAUCAAUGGACUAAAUGGAAACUAAACUAAAAAACCGAGAAGGUUAAAAAGACCGUAACAUUUUGGAACUAGGGCCAAAUGGAAAUUAAACAAAAAGGGUUAGGGGUAUAAAUACCAAUAACCUUUGAACUUAACGAAAAACGAAAACUAGAUUCAAUCUGGAAAGUAAAAAUUGUAUAUUUUUUCCUAAUUAUCAAAAAAAAUCUUGAAUAAAAAUAUCCUAACAUCAUCUUCUUAACUUGACAAAUAAAAAAAAUAAAAAAAUAAAAAACAUGUGCAACUUAGGUUGCAUCCAUCAUCGUGCAACUCAAAUUGCACACCAAUAAAAAUAUACCAUGACAAAAAAAAAUAGAUUUUUUUUCUUUACUAUUAUGCUAGACUGCACCUAAUCAUGGUAAAAAAUAAAUAAGGUCCUUACCCUUCUUUUUACAACUCAUGAACUCUCACUAUUGAAGGCCUAAUACUUCUACUUCUCACAAUUAUUUAAUUAUACCAAUACCUUGUCUCAGACAACUCUCCUUCUGAAUUUUCCCCUGAAUGUUUGGAUCAAGAGCUUCCUUUACCCCUUUCUAGUGUUUAUGACAACAUUCUAGGAAGUGAACCUUCUUUUACAAACUUCACCCCUAGCUUCACUCGCACUCUUGAUUACAUAUUUUUCUCACCUUCUGACUUUAUAAGACCCAUUAGCUUUCUAGAGCUCCCAGAAUUAGAAUGGCCAGAGAUUAUUGGUGGGUUACCUAAUAAUAGCUACCCAAGUGAUCGUCUUCCUAUUGCUGCUGAAUUUGAAAUCACAAUGGAAUAAGUUCAGCAUUUCAAAUCUUAUCCCUAUUCUUUUUUCUCCUUCUUUUCAUAUUGAUUAUUUCUUUUAUUUAAAUGGAACAGACAUUUGUUCUAGGUUCCAUUGAAGUUGAGAAUCAUUGUAAACCUAGAUCUUUCUUUUUUUUCUUUGCUAUGGUUAAAUUAUAAGUUAAUGUUUUGUUCUGUUACAAUUUUGUUCCUAUCAAUAUUGAUUAGUAUUAAAGUUAGUAUACUAUUUUGGACGUUGUUACUUCUUGUACAUUUAUAUGUCAUACUAUCAGUACAUCUUAAAUUUAGUUCAUCUGGUUUCAACAAAUCGUAACAACAUUUGAAGACAUUAUUUAUCAAAUUGGUUAGAGUAAUUUUUUAAAACAAUAAAGUAAUAGCAAUAACUAAGUUAAGAUUUAUAAAAAAUAUAGAAUUAAGAUGGUACAAACUCUAUACUUUCCUCCUCAUUCUUCACCAUGAGAGAACCCUUAAAAUUAAAAAAAAAAAAACGAAAAAGAAAUUCAUUUUAAUUUUGCAUGGAUGCAUUAGUACCCAUCAAGGAAGACAAAGGUGAAGAAAAAAAUAUAGUAGUUGGCUAGCUGGUAUAGGCAAGAAAGUCAAAACCACCAAGCUUAGAACAAUGUCAGAGGUCCCGAAAGUUCACAUCUAACUGCUGGGUGUCACAAUCUUAACCCUUCAAACACGAUGUGAACGAUUGUCACAUCUAACUGCUGGGUGUCACAUCUAACUGCUGAGUGUCCCGAAAGUUCACAUCUAACUCGACGAAUAAGUCAGCCGUUCAAAAUCUGCAAAUCGCGGACAACUUUAACACACGCUUCAACCUCCCCUCACGUUCUUGGAAAAAUAUUUUUAGAAAACGUGAAAGAUGAUUAAUUUGAUUGAAAACGUUGUUAAAACUAGCAUUGAAGAUUGUUGUCAAUUGCAAUAAGAAAGCGUAGAUUGCAAAGAGUACGACAAGGCUUGGGCGGGGAUUCAACAGGUAUGCCUCUCCUAUAGUACUUUUUUAACAUUUUCAUCUCUGGAAGGCUUGCAUAUGAAAAUGCCGAAACGUUACACCCAAGCAUAUCGACUUGAAAUUCAAAGCAACUACCUAAACUACGUACAAGACAUAAAGACAAGAUAAAUUGGGGCUAAUCUGAGCAUAUGGCCAUAGGUAAACACACCUUGGACAAGUAUGUUUGUUACAUUCUCCCCCACCUAAACAGUUGACGUCCCUGUCAACUGGUGAAGCUUGAACUCCUCAAUCUUCUGCGCCUCGGCUUCUAGGUCUUCGACACAUUCCCAACCGGUUUCUUCCACAAGAAGGUUCUUCCACUCUACCAAGUACUCGUGGAUCCUUCUUCCUCGCUCGUUCGGCCAGGAUUUCUUCAACUUCUUUACUCUCCUUCUGGCUGAGGUCGAUGGUCAGUCAGACUAUGACAUUAUGUUGCAUGUCAUCAGGAUCAUGCUAGUAGGGCUUCAAAUUACUCACAUGAAUUACUGGGUUGAUUUUCAUCCAUGUGGGCAACGCUACUUUAUAAGAUGUGUUCCUUACCUUCUUCAGCACUUCCACUUGUCCCUCGUACUUUCUUACGAGGCGUUGGUCUUUGCGUCCUCGGAACCGAAUCUGUCCUGGUUGUAACUUAAUGAGAACCUGAUCUCUGACACGAAACUCUAUAGGGCGGCGCUUCUUGUCUGUCCACUUCUUCAUCUGCUUCGAGGCUUUCUCUAAAGAGGCUCGAGCGAUGUAUGUCGUCUGCUUCCAUUCCCUGGUAAAAUUGUGAGCUUGAGGGUUCUUCCCCGCAUAGGGGUGAUCAACAAGGUGUGGCAGAACUGGUUGCCUUCCGCAAACAAUUUCAAAAGGGCUAUUUCCAGUUGACGAGCUUGUCUGAGCGUUAAAACAAAAAUUGGGCAACAUCCAACAACUGAGCCCAAUUUCUUUGCCUUGCAGUAACAAAAUGGCGCAAGUAUUCUUCGAGCAUACCGUUGAACCGCUCAGUCUGACCGUCCGUCUGGGGAUGGUAACUUGAGGACACAUUCAGGCUUGUCCCUAAGAAAGUGAAUAACUCUGUCCAAAAGGCGCCAAUGAACCGUCCAUCUCGAUCACUCACAAUGCUUGUCGGUACACCCCACAACUUCAUAAUAUGUCUAAAGAAUAAUUGAGCUGUUAACUCUGCCGAACACUACUUCGUAGUGGGAACAAAAGUGACAUAUUUCGAGAAUCAAUCUAUAAUGACUAAUAUAGUCUCAUAGUCGCCUACUUUUGGAAGAUGUGUGAUGAAGUCUAUAGAAACGCUCUCCCACGGUCUCGUUAGCACAGGCAGAGGUUCGAGAAGCCCAGCAACCUUUGCCUUCUCGACUUUGUCCUGUUGACAGACAAGACACAUCUUCGUGUAUUGCAUGAUAUCGUCUCUCAUACGGGGCCAAAAGUAUCCAUACUUCAGCAAGACAUAUGUCCUCUGUCAUCCGGGGUGGCCGGCCCACAGAGUGUCCUGACACUCGUGUAGCAACUUCUUCCUCAGGUCUCCUCCCCUAGGGACAUACAACCGUCUCCCCUUCGUCACUAACAACCCAUCUUCAACCCAAAACUGCCUUGUUUUAUCUGCCUCAGCUAAACUCAUGACACUUUGAGCCGCAGAAUGCUUCUGCAAGAACUCCCUCAAGAAAUCGCGCAUAGGACCAUCAAUCUUGCUUGCGUAGAGAUGUGCUAACAUGCACAAAGCAACGUGUUCACCUCUUCGACUAAGCGCAUCAGCGGCCUGAUUGCUCACCCCCUUCUUGUGUUCAAACUCAAAAUCAAACUCAGUUAGGAAUUCCUGCCAUCUAGCUUGUUUUGAAGUCUAACUUCGGUUGCGUAAAGAAGUGACAAGUAGCACUAUUGUCCGUCUUCACAACAAAAAGUUGACCCCAAUAAGUACUGUCUCCAGGCCCUUAAGCAAUGUACUACGGCAAGCAUUUCUUUCUCGGCCACGGUGUACCUCCUCUCCGUGACAUUCAACUUUCGACUCUCAUAAGCGAUGGGGUGUCCAUUCUGCAGGAGUACACCACCCAAUGCGUAAUCAGACGCAUCGGUCUCUACUUUAAAUGGUUGGGUCACAUCUGCGAUCCCAAGAAUUGGCCCCUUGACCAUAGCUUGCUUCAGUUCAUCGAAGGCGACAUGACAUUCCAGUGUCCAAUUCCACUUGUUGUCCUUCUUCAGCAAGUCAGUCAACGGGCUUACUCUUUUAGAGAAUCCUUCCACGAAUCACCUGUAAUAAUUGGCUAACCCGAGGAAGGAGCGCAAGUCGGUGAUUGACCUUGGUACUUCCCAAUCACGAAUCGCAAUGAUCUUUCCUUCUUCCAUACUGAUUCGACCAUACUCAAUCACAUGACCCAAAAAAUUGAUCCGCUCUUGAGCAAAGGAACACAUUUCCCUCUUGACAUACAGUUGGUUCUCCUUUAGUUGGUUCUCCUUCAACUUCUGAAAAACCCUUUUGAGGUGGUCCUUGUGUUCUUCUAGCGUGGAGCUAUAAACCACUAUAUCGUCCAGAUAGACCACCACAAACUUGUCAAGGUAUUCAUGGAAGACCUGGUUCAUUAGCGUACAGAACGUUGCAGGUGCAUUGGUAAGACCAAAUGACAUGACAAGGAACUCGAACGCCCCAUGCCUCGUAACGCAGGUGGUUUUGGGCUCAUCCCCUUCGACAAUUCUUACUUGAUAAUAGCCCGAUCGCAAGUCUAGCUUCGAGAAAUACUUUGCUCUAUGAAGGCGAUCAAACAGGUCUUGAUUAUUGGUAGCGGAUAUCUGUUGCAGACCGUGAUCUUGUUUAGGGCGCGGUAGUCGAUGCACAACCGCAUACUUCCAUCCUUCUUCUUCUGGAAAAGGACUGGAGCUCAAUAUGGAGCUUUUGGAGGCCUCACAAAUCCUGCGUUCAGCAGUUUACCCAGUUGUUUUCGAAGUUCGGCCAACUCCGGCGGUGCCAUACGAUAAGCAUUCUUCGCAGGCGGUUUUGCCCCUGGAAGCAAUUCGAUCUCAUGGUCGAUCAUUCUCCGUGGAGGCAAUGAUUUCGGCAGGCUGUCUGGCAUCACAUCCUUGUACUUCUUUAAGACACUCAGGAUGUCUUUGGGGACUGUUUCCCUUGGGCUUUCGAACGACUCCAGUGGGAUAGCCAUAAAGGUUGGUUCGUCACGAGCAAGGCCUUUCUUCAACUGCAUAGCCGAGAUCAUCUUUAUCCCAUCAGGCUGACGAAUCUCAGUUUGAACAACAGUAGGCGUUGUUCCAGUAAUCACUAAACAUUUGGCUAGCGGCAUUGGUAUGACUUGAUGCUCAAGUAGAAACUUCAUACCCAGUACCACAUCGAAGUCAUCCAUCUUUGCAACCACCAAAUCUAUGAGACCGCUCCACUCUUCCAUCCUUAUAGUCGUUCGUUUUACCAACCCGACGAUAGGUAGGGCAGCUGAGUUCACGUCCUUCAUUUUUCCUGCGUCCUUCUCCCAACGGAGAUUCAGUCGUCUAGCUUCCGCUUCUACAAUGAAGUUAUGGGUGGCACCAGAAUCCACCAUAGUGCUCUUGGGUGGCUUUUGGUUGACCCAACAGUCUACGUACAUGAGACCAUUCUACGUACAUUAGGGCCCCCAUCCGAGGAUUCUCGCCCUCUUCUAUCUGUCCAACGUCUCCUUCAGUCUGACUCAAUCUAUCAUCUGAGUCCGAGGCCAGGGUGGCUUGAAAAGCGUUGAAGGCGAUACGGUUGGGGCACUCUCUGGCAAGAUGAGGUCCUUUACAUAUGAAACAACUGAUGGAACGACUGGUGUUGUUUUGAUUGUUUGGUCCUCGCCAGUUGUUUCUUGUAUUCGCUUGGAAGGGCUUGCGAUCUCCACCUUGUCGCUUGUCUCCCCCUACAGUCUUCGGGGAAUUUGGGCGGUUGUUUCUGUUUCCUCUAGAGGAGGAAGCUUGAUGCCGUCUUGCAUCCUCAGAUUCGCUAGAUAAGUCAAACAACCGUUCAGCCACUACGUAUGCCGACGUGAGGUAUUGGAUUCGUUGCUCAUACAACUUGGUCCUAGCCCACGGCUUCAAUUCACGUAGUCCCGAAUGUUCCCCGUGUGCUUCAAUUCACGCAGCUUCCGUCGGGCCAGAAUUUUGACAUUUUCAGGAAAAAAAUUGCGAACGGAGUUCUUCUUUUAGGGCAUCCCACGUGUCGAUUGUGCAACGGCCUUCUUGAAUGUCCAUGUAUCGGGACUUUAGCCCGAUUAACUGUCCCCACGCUCGUAGGUGACAUUUCCCGUUCUCAUAACUCGGGACUUUAGAGCGUCGACUCUAGUCAAUAACUCUUGGAUGGGUAGUCCGUCAAGGCGACCGAACACGACUUCAAUGCCAUCAACUUUCUUGGCAAUAUCCUCAAGCCGCUAUUCCAAGAACCGGAUGGAAUCAGGAACUUCCACCAGGUAGAGCAUCUGCUCUUCGAUUCCCAUAAGUCGCUCAUUAUGGGUCUUGCUAGACUGUUUCGCCACCGACAUCUUUCUGUCUCGCACUGUCAACUGCCAACUUGGCUCUGAUACCACUUGUCACAAUUGUAACCCUUCAAACACGAUGUGAACGAUUGUGCGACACUUGUUCUAACUCGACGAACAAGUCAGCCGAUCAAAAUCCGUAAAUCGCGGACAACUUUAACACACGCUUCAACCUCCCCUCACGUUCUUGGAAAAAUAUUUUUAGAAAACGUGAAAGAUGAUUAAUUUGAUUGAAAACGUUGUUAAAACAAGCAUUGAAGACUGUCAAUUCUUAGUUCUGUCCCGAAACAUCCAAAAAAGGGUCGAUGUUAUGGCCUAGAAAGAAACCACCCAGCUUAGAACAAUGUCAGAGGUCCUGAAAGUUCAAAUCUACCUGUCAGAUGGCCACAUUCCGAGUAAUAUUAAAGUUUCUUGCCCACAAAAGCCGAACGGCGAUGGCCCGAUCUCGGUUUUUUAGUUUCGUCCUGAAACGUUGAAAAAAUGGUCGAUGCUAUGGCCUAGAAAGAAACCACCCAGCUUAGAACAAUGUCAAAGGUCCCGAAAGUUCACAUCUAACUGCUGGGUGGCCCCAUUCCAAGUAAUAUUAAAGUUUCUUGCCCACAAAAGCCGAACGGCGAUGGCCCGACCUCGGUUUUUUAGUUUCGUCUGAAAACGUCGUAAAAAGGGUUGAUGCUAAUGCCUAGAAAGAAACCACGAGGCUUACAACAAUGUCAGCGGUCCCAAAAGUUCACAUCUAACUGCUGGGUGACCUCAUUCCGAGUAAUAUUAAAGUUUCUUGCCCACAAAAACCGAACGGCCAUUUCUUGAACAAGUUUUUUAGUUUCAUCUUGAAACAUCGAAAAAAUGGUCGAUACUAUGGCGUAGAAAGAAACCACCCAGCUUAAAACAAUGUCAGAAGUCUCGAAAGUUCACAUCUAGCUGCUGGGUGAUCACAUUCCGAGUAAUAUUAAAGUUUCUUGCCCACGAAAGCAGCACGGUGAUGCCUCGGAUAAGGUUUUUUAGUUCCGUCCUGAAAUGUCGAAAAAAGGGCCGAUGCUAUGGCCUAAAAAGAAACCUCCCUGCUUAGAACAAUGUCAGAGGUCCCGAAAGUUCACAUCUAAUUGUUGGGUGGCCCCAUUCCGAGUAAUAUUAAAGCUUCUUGCCCACAAAAGCCGAACAGCGAUUUCUCAUACAAGGGUUUUUAGUUCCGUCUCGAAACGUCAAGAAAAUGGUCGAUGCUAUGGCCUCAAAAGAAACCACCCAGCUUAUAACAAUGUCAGAGGUUUCGAAAGAUCAAUCUAACUUCUGGGUGGUCCCAUUCCGAGUAAUAUUAAAGUUUGUUGUCCACAAAAGCCGAACAGCGAUGUCCCGGACUCGGUUUUUUUAGUUCUAUCCCGAAGCGUCGAAAAAUUGGUCGAUAUUAUGGCCGAAUAAGAAACCACCCAACUUAGAACAAUGUCAGAGGUUCUGAAAGUUCACAUCUAAAUGUUGGGUAGCCUCAUUCCGAGUAAUUUCAAAGUUUUUUGCCAACAAAAGCCGAACGACGAUGUCCCAGACUCAUUUUUUUAGUUCUAUCACGAAAAGUCAAAAAGAUGGUCUAUGUUAUUGCGUAGAAAGAAAUCACCUAGCUUAGAACAAUAUUAGAGGUUUCGAAAGUUCACAUCUAACUGCUGGGUGGCCCCAUUCCGAGGAAUAUCAAUGUUUCUUGCCGAAAAAAAUCAAACGACGAUGUCCAGACUUGAUUUUUUAGUUCCGUCCCGAAACGUUGAAAAACUAAAAUAUUAAAAUAUUGCUAUGAAUCAUAUUUUUACUCAUGGUUUUUUUUCUUUUUGUUUUUAUUUAAGUGUUGAGUGUCUAAGAAUUAUUUGAUAUGGUACGAGUCUUCAAAAGUCAUCCUUUUCAUUUUCUCUUUUAUAGGAUGAGUCAUCAAGACUCAUCUUUCUACACUAGAUCUCUAAUAAGUUCUAAAACAAUUUUUUUUAAGAAUACAGUAUUUCAAUAAAUCAUCCAUUUUUAUUAUAAGAAUAGAAGAAGGGAGAAAAUGAAGUUUUUUUUUCUUAGAGGUUGAUUAUAAUUGGUUUGAUUAUUAACACAAAAUGAUAGUUUAAGAGAUCUAUCGGUGUGAGAAUUCUUUUGUUUACCUAAUUAUUUUUUAGUAUGUUUUAAGAAUAAAUAUUUGUUUCGAAACUUUGUGAGAUUUUGUGGGCUUUUAUGUUUUAACCGAGAUCUAAAAUAUCAAUGUUGAUAGAUAUAUCAAAGUUUUGAUUUUUCAAUUUCAAUGGAUGUUUUUGAAAAAAUUAUAAAAAAUAAAAAGUAAAAUUAAAUCAUUAAAUAAAUAUUUUAUUGUUUGAAAGUGAGUAAACCUGUUUAUCAAUUAUAUUAUAUUUAUAUUAGUUUCAUUUGAUGUUUGUUUUAUGUGAUUUAUGGAUUUUUUAGGAUGUAUUAAAAAUAUCGAUUCAUCCCUUCUAUUGAUGUUGAACUCAUGGAAAUGUGAAAAUAUCAAUAGAAAUGUCAACAUAUCGAUGAAAAUUUAAAACUAUCGUGUUACUUUAAAAUUUUUGUUCAUUUUAAGUACUAAAAAGUUUUGGUGUAAAAAUUUGAUAAAUGAAAAUCUUUUUGAAUUUUUUUUAAGAUUUAAGGAUAUUUAUGACUAAGAUUUUUAUUUUUUAAAAAAAGUAAAAAUUUCUGUCAUAAUAUGAAAUCUUAAAAUAAUCGUUUUCUUUUAAUCUUUUAUAAAAAAAAAAAAAAAGAGAGAAAAUAAAAAGCUUAAUGAGCAUAUCUAUCAUUUUAGGGAAAAAAGCAAAUUAAUUCAUUUUAGACAAAAUCUCGUAAUAUCAAAUUUGAUUUAUUUCUAUAAGCAUAAUCAAUAACUCAGUUCAACAUGACAGAACGAAACAUGUAAAGAUAGACACACGUUUUAUGAAGGAGAAACUUGAAAAUGACACCAUUUAUAUCUCAUACACUCCUAGUCAACAAAUAGCUUAUAUUUUCACCGUAGGGUUACUCUGGCAUACUUUGACUAUUGUGCUAGUAAGUUGGACCUAAUUAAGGGUUAGUAGAGUUCUUAUAGCCCUAAGGGUUCUCCUAGAUUAAUUGAUUGUUAUCUUGUGUUGAGAAUUGAAAGCGAGUAGAAUUUGAAUCAAGAACAAUCAUUGCAAGUGCAAACUAGCCAGAAUGGAACUCAAUACCGAUCACAAGAGCACAGGCAGGAGAUACGUCGAGAACUCACACGAGAGAAUCAUCAUGACAGGUAAGUCAAUCGUCCAAAUCAUGCUCAAAACUUUGAAUUCACAUUUCUUGUCCUGACUUCCAAAUAGAUGAGGAUGCUGAGACGACUUUUGCAGGUUGAAUGGUGUUGUUUAAAACCAAUUUGAAUUGUUGAAGUCCCUUAACUUCCUAAGAUGUCUCUCCAUAUCUUGUCUAGUUUUGGUCCUCUAUUCUUUCUCGAUUACCGUGGUCGGGUCAUCUCGUUCACUCUAGAUUGCAUUGAGAGUAUAGGGGAUUAAGCAAUAAACAGAGCAUAAAAUGCUAAUGAAAUCUGGUAGAUAAGAAACAGAUACCGAAUGGAUGAUCUUGAAAGAGUUUCCAUUGUCCCAAACUACGAGCAAGUCGCUUCUCCUGUCCCUAUCUCUUCCUCCUGGAACUGUGACUGUGUUAGAGCAAAAGGAAGUAGUUUAAACCCUUUUAACAGACUAGAAGCAGCUUGAAAUCUUCAAUUCGACUUGAAGUUUAGAACUUCACUUAUUACUGAAACAGUGCAAAAGCCAAGAAAAAAAAGUCUUACCAGGACUUUUGCCCUAGUGAUUGACUUGGUUUUUGAAUCAAUUACAUAUAUUUUCUCAAAAUCUAGGACGAAUUCAGGGUCCCACAGCCUUUGAUUUUUGAAGUGCUUCGUCAAGAAAACCUGCAAAAGAUAAAUGAAUUGUUUGCACAUUCUUAUAUCCUUUGUCCACAUUCCCAUCCUGAAGAGAAGACCAUCACAUGCAUAAUAUUCUUAAAUUUCAAACGUCGUUGAGUCAAUGAACGUCACUUUGUAUAACUAUGCUUGCUACUUCUAUUCUAACGUAUCGCGGCGAAACCUAUACUCGGAUUUACAAAGAAAUGGAAGAGUCCAUUAAAUUAUCAUCACUUUCACUAGAAAUAGAAAAAUAGAGUGAACAAUCAUCAAAUUCUUAAGUCCAACCUUACCUUAAGAACCUCCUUUUCAGACUUGUAUAAUGGAUCUCUAGGUGCAUCAAUAGGUGGUUCUAUGACAUUGUAGCAUCCAUAAUCACUCUAAGCACAUCUAAUAUACUGCAGUUGUGAAGAAAAGUAUGAUCAUACACUACUGAAAUUCCUUAAAAUCUUAUUUUGGUCCUUGAACAAUGGUAUAAACAAAAUUCCUUAAAAUCUUAUUUUGGUCCUUGAACUAUGAUGUUUGUUCCAUAUUGUUCUAUUAACUUUUAAUUAUUGUGUUUAAGUCCCUUAACCUUCAAUAAGUCAGUUUUAGUCUCAGAUUUCUUCAUCAAAUUAACUGUUAACUUACCAACAGUUCUUCCACAAAAACUUAAAUGACCGUCUGUAAACAUUUGCCGACUGACUAAAUGAACAUGCUAAAUCGAAAUCUGUUUAUAGAAAAUGAUUGAAACUUUUCAUAAAGGAGAUGAACAGAGACUAGUGCUUCAACAUACAAAAGGAUACAACAAAAACAUAGCAUAAUGUAAACAAUUAACCACAGAGGAUUAAAGGCAAAUGUGGUAAGACUAAAGUAAUAAGACUUCAAAAAGUAAAUGAAAACUUAGAGAGGCUUGAUAAAUGUCGGCCAAUUGCACUAGUUAUUGUUAAUGUAAAGUUAAUGAAAAUGGCUAAACUAACAGGUUAAGUUUCUGUUCAAUUGUUAGUUAAAAACUAAUGAAAAUGGUUGAAACGGGUUUUUAAUCUAGAGUUCAAGACUAAAACAUAAUAAUUUACACCAUUUUAUCAUGUAUAUAAAUGCAAAGAAAGAACAAUAAUACCUUUUGAGGCAUUGGAGGGAGUAAGAACUUUGGGGACGACAUAAACAUCAGUAUCCGGAGGAGUAACAUACAUCUACAACCAAGAAACACAUCAACGAAAACUUUUUUAACUAUCAAAUGAAUCUGAUAAAGCCAAGUUUGAAAUGAAACUAAGCAAAUUUUGCCACUAACCUCUUUAAAAUCAUAAACAUCGCUGUUGGGAUCCGACGACUUCCUAAUGAAGAAAUGACAGUGCAUAAAACUAAUAUUAUGAAAUUCCUCCUCAUUUAUCCUAUGAUCCACAAUCAUCUCCGAAUCCCAUCCCUGUGUGAACAUGAAGCUUUUGCUCUGCACAAUCGAGAUAUUCUCAUCGCCAACGUCGCCGGAACCCGCUGCUGCAGCUAUCGCGGCGACUAGAGGAUCGUACUCGAUGUCGAAAUCUUUGUUGCUGUUGAAUUCCUCCAUUUCCUCAUCGUCCAUGUCGUAGUCAUCGGGACCAUCACUAUCACCGUUGCCAUCGCCGGAGAAGACUCGACAAGGGUUUCUUCUAGGGAGGAAGAGAGGAGAUGCAGAUGGAGUGGAUUUCCGAUAGGGUAGGCUUGGGAGGUGGGGAAGAGAGGUUGUGGAGGAGAUGGAGGAGACUCAAAGAUGGUUGAUUGUGGGGGCGGCAACGCGAGGAGAGGAGGAAGACAGUGGAGUUCAUGAGGACGCAAACUCUGUUAAGCGGGCACCGAAGAAUUCGAACGCUCUUGUGUUGAGUUUGUUGAUGGAUACUGUCAGGUGGAUAAUGUUAAAAAUAAUUAAAAUGAAUAUUUUUAAAAACAUUCAAAAAAAUCGUUAAUAUUAUGAAAAUGGUCCAAUACUGUCAGUUUUGGGUCUACCAUUUAAAAAAUAGCAUACAUUUUUUUUAUAUUCGUCUGUUUUUCUCACAGAGACUAUUUUUUUCACAGCUUUAGCCGAAUUCAAUUAUGAGAUUUCUUAUUUUGUAUUUAAAAUUAAAAUAAAUGCUAUUAUAUAAUUACCAAAAUAUUUUCCAGCAAACAAUUUCAUAUAGUUGUGAAAAUAGGAACUCGUUUAGGUUAAGUUUGAACUUCAUUACUCUCAAAAUCUCUUAGAUUUAUUGAUUUUUGUGUGGGCAAAAUUGUUCUGUGUAUCCUCAAGCUUUUAAGUCUUUACAUGUAUUCUGCCUUGAACAAUUUGAUAGUUUAGAGCUUUUUUAAAGUUUUGUUAUAGGUUUUUUUUUUUUUUUUUUUGUGAAAUAUGAGGUGGCUGGAAUAUAAGUAGUUGGAUGUGUGCAUAUCUCAUUUUUAAAUUUUUUCUGGUGGUUAUCUGAUGAAUGUCAUAAAUUUCAUCAACCUAGGCUCAUUUAGAUUAGGAAUCUCGCCUGAGAUUGUUGAAAUUGGACUGAGAUUUGUUGAAUGAAUCUUAAGAUUGUUCUAUGUUUGUGUUCAUAUGCAUUAUGUGUUGGCUAUCGGGCUAGAUUUCACCCGAGAUUAACCAAGAUACAUCAUAGGAUGCAUAUAAAACACUAAUAUCGUGACAUCACAUGUAAAUAACCCAAGUACAUAGUGAAUUUAUGUUGUUCUUGACCGAGAUUGGAUCAAGAUUCCCUUGAGUUCUAAGACAAAGUACUUAUUUUCUUAUGUUACCUGUGUUCUCUGUUUGGUAAAUGCCUCUUGUCACUAAAAUUGCAAUUCAAACAUUUUCCUUCCAAAAUUGACAUGUUCUCACUCGGCGAAAACUAUCUCCAAUAUUAAAAACAAGUUAACUCCUAGGCAAUUGUAUAUGUUUAGGAAAACUCCAUUCAAUCAUUUCUUGGACAUUAGGUUGAUGAUCAGUGGAUCUUUGUGUCAUUACAUCUUGUUAAGAGAGUUUGAGGAUGAUCGAUGUGACAUUAUCAAUUUUAAAUUACUCAGAAGGUGUCUUUCAGACAAGAAGAUUUUGGCAUUAUUACGAGGUUGAGGUUGAGGUAUAGGUCAAGACAUGUUGUUGAGUUUGAACAGGAUAAAAGCUCUUAGAUUGAGACGCUUAUAUUUGGUUGGUAGGGCAAACAUGAAUGGGUCUAAAUUGGGUAAAGAUUACCAAAACCUUCAAUUUGAGAGUUACAAGCCUACGGUAUGAACCAUUUUUGUUCUUCUAAAGUUAUUUUUGUCACGAAUGAAUUAACCAUUUCUGUUCAAAUACCUAUAGUGACAAUAUUUUUUUAUAUUUUAUUAAGUUAUAUUUUCGAAACAAGAGUAUUUUAUGAUACAAAACAUUAAAGUUUUUCAUCUAAAUGCAACUGUAAGGGGCCGUUUGGGGAAAGAAAUGAAUAAGGGGAAAAGAAUAAGGAAAAUGGGGGAUUAAGUGGAGGAAAGGAUUAUUAUAAUCCUUGUUUGAGGGAAGGAUUAUGAGGAUUAUUUAUAAUCUUUGUUUCGGAAAGGAUUAAGUGGAAUGAUUGUGAGAGAUUAUUUAUAAUCUGGGAGAAGAUUAUGUCAGAAGGAUUAAAACCAAAAUUGUAUUUUUUUAUUAUUAUUUAUACAUUAACCUGAAUAUGAGAUUAAAUGUAGAAUUGUUUUUUUUCGUGUGAAUGAAAUUCUUUGUUUUUUUCGUGAACCCUAUACAAAAUGAAAAAUAUGCUAAUAUAUGUUGCAAACUUUGUUGAUACCGUUAAAGCCUCAACAAAAAAUUGUAUUCAAAUUAAUUUUUUUAGUUGGUAACCCAAGCGUUCACAAAAAAACACGAAUUGAUUUUGUUUGUUAAUUUUGUAUAAAUAUUUUUUUUACUUGUAACGUAUCCCUAAUACACUUUCAAAAUUGAAUUAGAUGUUUUCCAUGUGUACGAUAUGCUUAUGGAAUGAUUUCCAUAAACCAAAUACAAAAUAAAAUAUGUAUUAAUUUUUUUUGCGUUUGUCUAAACUUAUUUAUUUUUUUCGUACGGUUUUCAAGAAAUGAUGAAUAUUUAUAUUAAAAUAAUGUUUAUAUUUCAUUUCAACUGUAACCUCAACACACAACACAUAUGUAUUAAUUAUAAAGUUGAUUUUGUAAAAAACAAAUUUGGACCAUACGCGCAAUACACAAUACAAACAAAUUGUAUUAUUUUUUUCCAUUUGUGUAAACUAUGUUUCUCAAGUUAUACCGUAAAUAGAAGGCAAAAAAAAAAAAAAUUCUAAGUUUGUAUCGUCGAUCAUAUAGAAUAAAAAAUUGGAUUACGUUGGUUUUAUUUUAUUUUUUUCCAUUUCGAAGAUUUCUUUUUUCAUAUAUUAAUUUUUUUUCUCCAUGAGAAUGAUAAGCAACAUAAUAGCGGUUAAAGCCAACGACUAUUUUUUUGAAUUGCAAUUAACGAAAAACAUAACGGGCUAAUGCAAACUACAUGCAAGAGCUUACCUAUCUCACCACUUGGCAUUCUUAGUGGGGUAAGUGUCCUGCAUGCAAUAAGCCACUUGCAUAUCACAUGCAAGUGAUAAGCUUACCAAAUCUCAACAAAUGUUAUUAUUUAAAUUAGUCUAAGGACAAUAUGGUAAUUCAACAUUUAAAUCAAAUUCAAAGUUCGAGUUUUUCAAGCCCAAAGUCAACAUUUUGACUUUUAACCAUUUUGUCCAUCUUGACUAAUUUCAACCUUCCAAGCAUCAAUUCGUAUAAAUUUCUCCAAAAUUUAAAUCACAUUUGAAUAUAAAGUCAUCCAAAGUUUGAUUUUUCAAAGUCAAAAGUCAACAUUUUGACUUCUUACUUCUUUACCAUUUUCAUCAAUUUUGAGCUUCCAAAUAUGAAUUCAUAUUCAUAUUUAAAUUACAUUUAAACAUGAAGCUUUAUCUUAAAUUAUAAUCGAUGACUAUAUUUAAUUCUAACAAUUCGAAUUAUUCCAUCAUAAUGUUCUAAGUUGAUUCCUUAUGAGCUAGUGGGGGAACCUAAUGGAUCUAUAGAUCAAGGGUUAACGAUCUGAGAUUAACUGACUAAACUCUUUAGAUCGAGUUAAUCAACCUUCGUUAACUAAUGAGUCAUUCCACUAAAGUCACGUAGUUGCAUCCCCUCACUAUAGAUAUAUUUGUGUCCAUGUGAUAUACACAUGAUAAGUAAGUUAAUCUUUCACAAGUUGUUCAUGAUCUCGACUGGGUCAAAGCACUGUUUUACCCCGACAUUAUAUCUUUUUUCUUUAAGUCCCACUGAUCCACUAUUAAAUAAUUGGUUUUAGGUCCAACCUAUAAACUGAAUCCCUCUCGGGCCAAUGAAGGGUGGGGCCCUUGUUCAAGACUUGGAUUCAGUCAUUAAGGGAACAACCUAUCUACUAACCCUAGAGUGGUAGGAGUGAAUUCCGUCUUGCACCCUAUGUCCCUAGCUAUCCACCCGAUCUUACCCCUGAAAUGGGAGGCUUAUUGAGCCAACGCCAUUGAGCUGCCCUCACUUAUGCAGAUCUAUCAAUAAUUUCACGUGAACAGAAGUUCAUAGUUAGCUCAUUUUUAAGAUUAAGUUACAUUGGAUAUCUAUAAACGAAAUAGUCAGUUUUACAAAGUUAACGGUGUUAUAACUUAAAAGCGACUAUCUCAUGGUUCCAGUCUUAUGUCAACUCUUUACAUAGAAUGCCGCCACUUCCAUGUCUCUAUAUGAACGAUUUAGGAUCACAUCGUUUGUACUAACUACAAAGUAGGCCGCAUCAAUAGUAUCUCCCGAAUAAGGCGUCCAACCUUAUCCAUAUACUAUAGACCAUUUAGGCUAUGACUCAAACUUGAUCCACUUUUAUGUCUGUACAUAAAGUUCAAGUCUACAUCAUAGCCUCGAAACAUUAAUUUAUUGACUUUCAUACUAUAGUAUCAAUAAGACGAUUUUAUUGAACAAAAUUUUGAAUACAAACUACGAGUUUUAGGAUCUCAAUUCCAACACUAUAGAGUCUAAUGAACAAGUGUCACAAAUAUAUUCAUUAAGUGUUUUUUUUUAAUUAAUGGUGUACGAGUAACAACAGUUAACUAAACAACAUAAACAAACAAUUUAGAAACAAAAUAAGGAUAGAAAGUGAAAACUGAAAUGCAUCAUAAUGGCAAUAAAAUAGUAAUUUUCUCAAAUGUUCAGUUUAUGCAAUGUCAGAUGAAUGUCCCAUAUUACAAAAAAAAUGUAUAUAGUGUUCAUAUAUGUUACGUAUUAAAGGGAAGUCAUAUACAUUCAACAGAAAAUGACCUACGUUAAGAGAAUGUCGAUGUUUGCCUAGUACCUCGAAACUUUACUCUACGUACUCGACCGCACUACAUAAGACAGUGAUGAUGUGAGAGCGUACCUUAUAGUUCGUACCUAACGACGCGUAACAACAAUUGGCAAAUGAAAAGGUUAACAGGUAAAUGGGAAAAAUUAUACAAAAUGUAAAACAUUGUUGUAGUUUGCCUCAAAGAACGGUGGUUUGUUUAGUUAUAUGAAAUCCAACUUCAAAUGACAAAAAUAAACUCAUCACGGACAUACCAAUGCAAAGAGAUCUUAUUAAAUGUGGCGAUAUGAAGGGCAUUGAAUCCAUACGAAAUGCGGUGACAUGAAGGACAUGGAUAAAAUGUAAUGCAACAUACGAUAGAAAAUCAUUGAUGCAAACCUGUAUAACACACAUUAAAUGCAUUACAAUGAAGAACAUUCGAUGGAGAAACUGAAAACACACAACAAAAAUACGUACCAAUAUGGAAUGUCAUAUUGAAAGAUGAACAACAAUGGAUGAAAGAGUGACCAACAAAGCAGAAUAACAUCAAAUGAGGAAGGGGGGCGGUAUAUAUAAAGGAAGGGAGUAUCAAAGUUAGUGAUGCAACAACCUAAAAAAAAUAUUAAUACCACUGUUAAAUGUGAUGUGUUGACGGGAUAAGAAAUAGAAAAUGGAUGGUGAAAGAAGCAUUCAUAGGCAUGCCACACAAGUUAGAGACAGUCAGUGCAAGUGAAGGACAAAAAAAAAAUUAUUUUUUUUCUUGUUUUACACAAUAAAAGUGAAAGAUUUGUAAACAAUACACCGCCAAAGGUCUCCGAGUGCUUGAGUUGAAUUGAAGGACUACCCGUUAGAACGCUCCAUCUUCUUCUCUCCUUUCAUGAAAUUUUCUUUGAACCUCCUACUCUGCAUCUUUAUUUCCUUCAUUCACCUAGGCAUCCUUAAUCAUCAAAUAAAAAUAAUAGUAGGUUCCCACUUUUAAAGAUACGCUUUCCUUUCGUUCAAAACCUACUACGAAGAAAGCAUAACUUCUAUUUUGAUCUAUAUUAUCGACUUAUAUUUCAACAAAGCCUUUCAAGAUGUCCAAUCGAUCUAAGCAAUACUCCAUGAGAGCACCAUAAUCUGAUGAAUUUUUGACCUAUUCUAAAAGAGAUACUACAGCUACUUGGGCUUCUGAGACUAAGAAAACUGAAACUAAUGGAUUUCUCACUCUAGUUCUUCUAACUGACAUGAAACUCCUUUAUAGUUGCCAACCUCUAUAUAGGGCAGAUACAGUUGAGUAUAAAAAUAAAAGGGUCGUUGAUGUCUAAGGCCACUGAAAGAGAAAGAGUUGCAACCACUUACCCUAUUUUAGUGACUUCUAUAGGUCGAGCUAUUCAAACCUCUCUUGAAAUCUUGUAAACAAAGAGAUCAGUCAAGAAUCCAAAAUACUGAUGAACACACAUCGUCGUAAAGAGAGAGAGAGAAAUUCUCUUAUUAUCAUAAUCCUUUUUUCGUGAUCGAUCAUCUCUCAAGAAUAUCUCUGUCUUAUGGCACCUCUCCUUUCCAACUAAAGAAAGUCAAAGAAGAGGAGUAGCAACUUCUCAGGGAUCUCAGUUCUGCAAAAGCAAGAGAAAGCCUAUGCAAAAUCAACCACAACAGCAAAAGAAUGUCCUUCAGCAGCAAGGUGAAGGGAAUAUUGCAUUCUUCAUUGAUUCGCUUAAGGGGCUAGUUAAGGGGUCUCCUCAUUUAACCUAUCAUUCUCCAAGUCCGCCUCUCUUAUGCUUUGUGAUUGAUCUGAGAUGAGGACAACUGUGGUUAAGACAAUGAUUGCAUAAGGAAAGACAGACCCUAUGGUUAGAGAUAUUCCCUACUCAAUUUGGAUCCAAGGGAAAGCUUCUUCUUGAAAUAGUACUUUUGACUACUCACUUUCAGUGAUCGUAACCUAAUGGAUGGAAGAAUUUCGUACCUCCUCAAAGGAAAGAUUACAUUGGGGUCCGUCCCACUCUUUCAAGGCCUUUCUUCUCAGGCAUAAAGAUAGGGCUUUCUUUAGCACUAUUGUGAUUUACUACUACAUGGUAGUGUAGGCUACCGUCCUUAUGCUUUUCUGUGGAUUUAGAAAGCACUUGAACAGUUUCCACAUCCGCUGUGAAAUGAGCUCCAACGAACUUUCCUUUCUUCCUUUGAGGCCUGAGACAGAUCAAUUUAUAAGGGCUACAAUUCUUAUAGUUCAUAAAGAAAUUCACUCUUUAGUCUAUUCCCAAUCCUAGUCCUUUGAGAUUUUUUAGGUUCUGUGUACUAGACGUCGUCGACCCUCUCAAACGUGGAAAAGACUCUUUCCUCACUCAUUGAGCUUGAAAAAGUAGCCCACGUAGCGGUAUUCAGCCUUCACCCCCACUCUGCGGUUGAGGCAUUUGUUCUCGAAGGAGAAGCAUAGUGACUCAACUAAGUUUACGAACAAGAAGGCGCCAUAAGGCGGGAACAAAGAAUAUUGCUCAAAGGUUUUAGCUUUAUUUUUAUGUGGGCCACUCUUUUUCUAUGGAGGCAAAGACCAUCUCAAACUAUCUUAGAAGAGGCAGAAAUUGAGAGGCAAUGCCUGCUCUCGUGGCGGCCUUAUCUCUUCUUAUGGCGCUUCUACCAGUGGAGGUUUCAAUCCUUCUUCUUUUGAAGGAGAAAGAUGCCUUAUGCAUGCAUUGGCCUCUAGCAUAUUUCUUUAUUUAUUGGUCAUAUGUCAAUUUUUCUCCCCUGGUUUUUCUUUCUAUUUGCCUUAUCAAAUAAGAAGCGCAACCCUCAACAAAGGCGACAACUUAAACAAGGGCUACUGCCUCUCCCUCUACAUCCCUUUCCUUUCUUUAAUGGGGAAAAGAUUUUCAGAGAUCUUAUUCAAGAUCUAAACACUGGAAAGGAGCGCCUCCUUUCCUUUCCCUUCGCCUUCAUAAGUCAGGCUAUGAAAAUAGAUUGUAAGUGAACCGCUUACCAUUCAGACUGAUCUAGGAGACGGGUCGAGGUGUGGAGUUUUCUUCUUUCUUGCUUUGACCUAUCCCACGGUCUUUUGAGCUAGUCUACUUUCUCUCUGCGGUUAGCUUCAGAAACUACCCCACUGAGAGGUGGAGCAUAACCUUUCCAGGAGAUCGAUACCCUGAUCUCGCUCAAGUAAUAAGAAGAUAAAGUGCUCAAGACUAUGUAAGAAGAUAUGAAAAAAAAUCGAAUUUUGAAAGCUCUGAUCUUUCAUACUCUUAAUUAUACCUACGAAGCGGUAGGCUGAGCACCUUGAUGUAUAGGCGUUAUGAAUAUGAGUGAUAGCUUCCGAUAUGGAAAGGGGAAAACAGGACCCACUUGAGGGAUUUUGAUGACUCUAGUCAAGAAAUAAGAAAAGAAGAGAGUAAAGUCGAGUCCUCUGAUUCUCAUCCACUUCUCCAACUUCGUCUCCUCAACUGCAUAAGUUGCAGGUCUCUUUCUUCUCCUCGUUCAUAAUGCACACCUCUUCCCUUUUCAUAAUAAUCUUUUGAAUAGUCAAGAUCAUCAUAAAAAACCUUGUCAGUCCUGUCUCAACUUCUCCAACUCACUCGAGCCUAACUACUCUCCUUCUCUCUCUUUCAUACUAAGUUGAUAGUGAAAAGAGAGAAAAUUACUAGUUGGGAAUUCGACCUUUAAUCAUAGAUCUCAUGAAAGAGAUAAGGCUACUUCUCUUCCUGCAACUAAAAGAAGAAGAAUCGCAACGGCCAAAAUCCCUCACACAGGAUGAAAAUAAUACUUUUAUUUAUCUACAUUGUUAAAAGAAAGUUCAAUAUUAUUUUUUUAGUGGAAUAAGACUCGUCCUCUUACAUACUCGUCCUUCCAGUCGUCUGAACCAAGCAUAUCCUUGUCUUAUGGAGCUUUGUCUCUGCGCAAACAUUAUUUUUCAUAGUCGAAUAAAAUAUCAAAAGAGAAAGAGAGAAUCAUUUAUGAAGAAGAAAUCAUUCUCAAGAUCUUCUUUUUCUCUCUCUUCUCAAUGAAUUGAGGCUUCGAACCUGCGAAAGUGCUCAAGAUUAUUAAAGAUAGAAUAAUGAAAUAGUAGUUUCUCAAGCUCUUAUUAAAGACAUAAGUCGUUUAUUACCACAUUCCGAAAGAGAUCAUGAAAGAGAAAAGAUAAACGAAUGAAAUUUUCCUAAUCCAUAAAUCUCAAGUGAAGGACUAAUCAAAUGAGUUCAAAGAGAAGAAGAGGUCAAUUGCAUAAAAGAAUGAGCUUAUGAGUUAGAGAUGGAAGAGUGAAGAAGAUAGGAGGCCAAGCCAAAAGUCAUCAACAAGCCGUCGGACCCCAAAAAGAAAGGUCUAGAUGAAAAGGAAGAAAAGGAAAUGGUCGAGUAUUCUGUCCCAGUUAAGCCUAAGACCUAGGUGAAUGAAUCUUGAAGGGUGCCUGAUUUGCCUAUUAGGUAGUAGUAGUCUUGGUUUCAUUGUAUUCCCCAUAUCGAAAGGAAGUUCAGCCUAGGGUUAGGUGCUUUUUCCUUAUUCAGCAAAUGGAGCAGAGCAUAUGAGUCCUUUCAUGAAUCAGAGCUGCUACAGAAGAUUGACUGACUCGAUCCUCUGAUCCUACUCUACAUCACGGAGAAAUAAAGCAGAAAUCUUCUUUCACACGCAACUCACGUCAGCUAAGGAUACUCUUUCUUCCCGUGUUGUAGGUUGACUUUGCACCUAAAUCAGUCGAGAUAUUUUUACCUAUCUUUAAAAGGCGAAGAAAUUGCAAUCCUCUUUAUUUAACUAACCUCCUCAAAAGAGCUGGUCUCGUAAGAUGCCGGUGUUUAUGGACCUUUGUUCUUUGACCGCCUUGAUUUUAGCAUCUGAACCUCUUUAUAGGCUUAAAUAAUGAUCGAAGGACUUCUAAAUUCAUAUAGGGAUCUAGACGGAUGAAAGUAGGGAAAUCCAAGUAUAUAUAUUUACAGACUAAGAGGUUCAAAGGCUAAAAUCAAGGGAAAUUGGGUCUUAUGAGGGAAUAAAAUUGCAUUUUUCCUUAUGGAAAGGAGGAAGAACACAAUAACUGUCUUUUCCCUUGAUUCCACUCAAGCACUCAAUCACCACAGAUCAUAUUAGAGGGUUCGAGAGCCACGGGCAAUUUCAGCCUACCUUUCCCUUGCUCAAUUUCAGCCUCCUCAAAAUAACUGUCUUGGGUGCGCCAGCAAGAGAAAAGCCUAAAAUCAAAGCUCUAGAUGAGUUGAACUUUCUUAUACGUUGAAAAAGGUUAAUGCACUCAAUCAAUAAUCUCUUAUUCUAUUUGAUUUUCUAAAUGAAGAAAGCAUGAAAGAAAUUCAUAAUCAAGUAAAAGUAAAGAAGCAGAGCGGUUACGAGACCAGUUGCAGGCUAGGUUUUAAGGGUCGCAGUCUUAGUUGUCCUGGAAGUCGUUCAAGUGUCGGAUGCUCAAUCGGUAAGCUCGUUCAUGUCUGAUUUGUCGUCGACCUUUCUUCUUUCUCUAUUUACUGGGAUUUUCUUCUCUGGGUUGAUUUUGUCCACUAAGUUUGGACCCCUUCUAAUUGGACUUUUGUUCUCUCUUCUACUGAUCUAUAUGGAUACAUCAGUCUCAUCCCCCCAUAAUCAAGUAGUGUCCACUAAAAAAGAGCAUAUGAAAUCUUUUUGUCAUCGAUAAGGUAUCGUUUCUGGGUUUAGGUGCGGGGAAUACUUAAGAGGGUAAAAGAUCCCACUUUCUAGUAUUCCUCACAUGCUUUUCGUCUUCAAUUAAGGCCUUUGUUAUCAUCCAUGGUUAGAUCGGUGAAUGCGAGAAGAGGUGGCCUAUUUCCUUAUUUCUUUCCUUUUUAUCUAAUAAAGAACCUUUUUGGACCCUUGAAUUAAGUGAAAGGCCUAGGGCCUUGGCACUACAAUUCCAUGAUUUUGCGCAUUCCCGCAGAGCUCCUUUUUAGUGGACGCUACUUGAUUAUGGGGGGAUGAGACUGAUGUAUCCAUAUAGAUCAGUAGAAGAGAGAACAAAAGUCCAAUUAGAAGGGGUCUAAACUUAGUGGACAAAAUCAACCAGAGAAGAAAAUCCCAGUAAAUAGAGAAAGAAGAAAGGUCGACGACAAAUCAGAUAUGAACGAGCUUACCGAUUGAGCAUCCGACACUUGAACGACUUCCAGGACAACUAAGACUGCGACCCUUAAAACCUAGCCUAAUCUAUAGAACUAAAGAGAAAGAACAAGGGUCAAAGAAUGAUCGAGGGCUACUUCCUAUGUGACUUCUACUUCUCCUAGUUGCGCAAGAUCUCUUGAUGGUUGUCUAGGCUCACCUACUUCAUCUUUUCAUGCUCCAAUGACUUUUUCUUAUGGGUUUGAAUCUCAUGAAUGUACCAAAUGGACUAUAAUCCCUGGUUUCCAUCCAAUGUGAGAGGUCAAAUCUACAAAAUGAAUUUUGAAAGUUUGCAACCCAUCCGUUAGGACCCAUAUAGAGUUAAAGAAAAAUCAAGCUCCGGAUGAGUUGAAAUUGAGUCGACCUAAAUAAAGAGAGAGAAGAGAAAGGCAGACUGGAUACACUCUCCCUGUGAAUGGAAGAAGUUUUCAUGGAAUUCAUGACCUGACCUAUCUUUGAUACAUUCUUAUAUGAGUCCGACUAUCCUAACUCCGAUUCUUAGGCUUUUUUUCGCUCACAUAUUAAGUUGCAUAGAACACCUGGACUUAAAGGAGAGGCGAAGGAGGAGUUGACAAAGAAUAUUGAGAAGUAAAUGAGUGAAUUGCAAUUCCAGGAAAAAGAGAAAGAAGAAAGGCGGCGCCCUUACCGAUCCCACCAUGGAUGAAACUCUCUUCAGUUCGAAAAAGACUAUAAAAAAGAAAUAAGUCAAGAAGGAAAGACCUCAUACAAUAUUCUUUGCACCUCAUACCUUCCGCCUCAAUGAAUAAGGGGGGAGGGAUCAAUUGCGACGGACAAUACACACUUGAUUUAGUUCGAAUGAACUUUGAUCAUUCUUUAAGCCUCUAAUACUUGCUUUAGAGAUAUUGAAACUUAUGCUACAAUAUGGGUUGCCUCCACCUGAUCGAGUUACCACCUCCUCGUCCACUUUCUGAUGUAAGAUUGAGAAUAGAGAAUGAUCAUAAACGAGAUUAUGAAUCUCAUGAAUUCACUAAGCUUUCCUACUUUCUCUACCACUUCUUCAACGAGAACAACCGCCUCAAUGAACAAGGGUGAGACGGCCUCUUGUCUUUCCUUUCGCCCAUGCCUACCUAGCUCUCCCAAGUAUUCAAUGCUCUUAUCCAAUGAAAAGUCAUGAAUUGACAUGGUGGAAAGCUGCUCCACGGGGAGGAGCGGAAGGUAUGAGACGGGUGAACUACCCACUCAAAGGAUCAGUUAUUUGCUGGGGUACGCGUAAAUCAUCGUCAGAUGUUUCCGUCUUAAUAAAUGGGCUUUCUUUUCUUAUUCAAUAACUCAAUUCAGAACUCAAAUUAGAAGCAAUCGACGACUAGAGAUUGAAAGGAGAAGUUUCCUAGUAGGGUCGAUCGAUCAACUUUCACUUUCAAUAGGAGGAUGCAGCUCCCUGGCAAUCACAAGUAAGAGGGACUGAUCGAGCCACUGCCUCUGAAUUCAAAGCCUGUCAUGUCCCCACCCAUGACACAGAUGAACAAGUAAAGUAGACAAACUCAUUAAAGUAGACAAUGACUCUGCCUUUAAAGAAGAAAGAAUGGAAAGUCUGAAAGAAGAGAACUUUUAUCGUAAACACUAAGGUGCAUCCUCAAUGGAGCAUUCCUUUCUCUAGAGCUAGAAAGGAAACGGGAGAUCUCGAAGUGCGGCUUGUCUCCGACCAGUGAUUGAAUGAUUUAUAGACGAUGCCUUUCCCGUGUAGUGGGCCUUAUGAGAGAUCCAAUUCGGGUCUUGGGGAGGUUUGGGAGUUUCUUUCUUUUGCCUUUAACUUCUACCUUGUCUGGUCAUCCUACUUCUGCAUUCAUUCGUAUAUAGAAAAUAUGUCGCUUUUAAGCUAAGCAAGGACACCAAAAGGAAUUCUAUUUCCCCUCCUAUCGAGUUGAAGUAGAAAAGUUUGAUUCAUGAACUAGUCCAUCUCGAACUCGACAAGACGCACCCUUAGCCUCAUCUCAUAGGUUGCUGAUUAGGUCAUUUCGCUCCGCGUAGAAGAAGGUUGAAUGAAUAUGAGUUCCCAAAGGCUAAUUAAUUCAAUGAAAAUACAUAAGAAAGAGUACAAAUGUCCCACCAAUUCAAUCCUUUGAACUUCAAAACCGAAGAGAAAGGACUCGCCCACUCCGUUGGCUCCUUAAUUAGGGACAUAAGCUAGGGCUUGAUCUAAAUCAUAUGUCGAAAGAGCAUCUUUUGGUUCUGGGAUCUCCGCCUUCGUUGAUUGGUUUCUAACCUUUGAGCGAGGAGAGUGAUUUCAUUAGCAAACUAGAAAGAUUCGUAGAACGCACAAUUUCAAAUGAAAGAUCUGGAAGAUGCACAAUACAUUCUCAGAAUCCAAAUUGUUCGGAACCGAAAGAACAAAACACUAGCCAUGUCUCAAGCAUGUUAUAUAGACAAAAUGUUGUCUAGGUAUAAAAUGCAGAAUUCCAAAAAGGGUCUGUUGUCAUACAAAUAUGGAGUUCAUUUGUCAAAGGAAUAAUGUCCUAAGACACCUCAAGAAGUUGAGGAUAUGAGAAAUAUACCCUAUGCUUCCGCUGUUGGAAGUUUGGUGUAUGCAAUGUUAUGUACUAGACCUGACAUUUGCUACUCAGUAUGGUGGUCAGUAGGUAUCAAUCCAAUCCUGGAUGUGAUCACUAGACAACCGUUAAGAACAUUCUAAAAUAUCUUCGAAGAACAAAAGACUACAUGCUCGUGUCUUGUACAAAGGUUUGAUCCCUAUUGGAUACACUGAUUCUGAUUUUCAAACUGAUAAAGAUGCUAAAAAGUCUACAUCAGGAUCAGUAUUCACUCUAAAUGGAGGAGCAGUAGUUUGAAGAAGCAUAAAGCAAACUUGUAUAGUUGAUUCCACAAUGGAAGCUGAAUAUGUAGCAACUUGUGGAGGAUUUAAAAGUCGCGCGCUCAAUAGAGACCCUUUAUGGGGUAUUCCAGUUCGAUAACAAGUGAAAAGAAAGCAGCAACAAGUUGAUCGCUAACUCAUGAGCCUUUCCGCUUGGGUGCUUUCUUCAUCCAUCGUACAAAAGUACUUGAAUUCAUAGAAUGUGAAAAACUCUAAUUUAUUCGAAAAGGAAGAACAAAAGUAGAAUCUCCAUCCCAGUCGAAUUUCUACAUAAAUAGACAUCUUUGUGAAAGUUAUUGUUUUCUUUUCCCAUUUUCGACACACAAGAAGCCAAAAAUACAAAUAUAGUGUACAAUAAAAGGAAGAUGAAAAAGAGAGACUAGUACAGAGACAAAAUGCAACAAACAGAUACACACAAACUUCUUUUCCAAUUUCUACACAUAAUAAGUGAAUGAAAAAAAUAUAAGCCACUGACAAACAAAUGAAGAAAGAAAAUGACCAUUGACAAAGACUAACGAUUGUGAACACUUUAAGAUCCAACAUAGAACAAAAUAAAACCACUAAUAAUGAAGAUCAAAGAGAACACAUGGAAUGAUCGUUUCAAUUAAAACAAUAUGAUAUCCGGGAAAAUAAUUAAUCAUCGGCAGACGAAUAGAAGGAAGAAAUAUUACCUCGGCCCUACCUUGCUCGGAACCACCAAAGCCACAACCCUCGGUUAGUAUCCAUCACUGAUCAUUAGAGGGAAGGCCGUCGCAGCCACAAAGGUUAAUCGAGCGGCAAGGAAAAUACAAUGAAUAAUGUCCGAGAAGCAAGUCCAUAGGUCAAGCCAUGCAAGGAAGUAGUCACCUAGUCGACCAACGCCCGACCAAAGAUAAGGCAUUAGAGGCCGCUUAUUUCUAAACGUAGCCUGUCAACGACAACCACACCCAUGGGGGCAUCGGAGACCGACAAACAAUAGGGAAAAAUGUAAGGUUUACAAAAUCGGUGUGGAUCAAAAUACCGUGAAGAAGAUGAUGUUGAACGAUGGAGAAAAACCAGUGAGUGCCGAAGAGGGUAAAAAUACUGUAAGAUCUAGGGAAGUAGGUUGAGAGAUAGACCGAUUUUGGGGAAAUAGAUUUGGGCAAAAUAGAGAGAGGAAAAGUGUGUAGAAGAAGAGAGAACCAUUGCUCGAGCAGAUGUAGAAGGAAUAAGGAUGAUUAAAUUUAGUCAUUUUCGGUGAGCCAAUUUCAUUGGAAUAACAAGAGAUAUAUCAAUGUUUUAAGGGUCAUUUUGAAAAAUGGCAAAACUUCUUUUUCUUUUGAAUUUUAGCAAAUAGCAUUUUUUGCACGUGCAUUAUAUUUUAUAAAAUACCAAAAUAUUCCCUUCUCCAACUAUAAUUAUUUCGUUUCUACAUUGUAAUUAAUUUAGGUUAUGCAUUUAUCUGCUUUUAAUUAUUUUUUACCUCGAGAAGAUACAACAACCCAUAUCAUAACUUUUUUUUCUUAAUAUCUCGGGACUCAACUAAUUGAUUCAACAUUUUAAUAACUUUAUUCAAUCUUACUAAUUUCAAAAUAACCAAAUUGACUUUGAAUUUCAAAAUAACCCAAUUAAAUUUCAAAAUAACAAAAUUAUUAUUUUUCAGAAUUUGAGAAUCUCAACGAUAGAUUUUGUAUCAAAAUAACCUUAAUUAAAUUUCAAAAUUAAAAAAAUAUCACUUUGUUUGCUAUCUUAUCUCAAAAUAACAUUAAUGGCUUGAAUACCAAAAUAACUUAACAAUUAUUUUGAAAUUGGGAGAAUCUCAACCUUAAUUUUAUUUUAAAAUAAAUUUCAAAAUAACCAAUUUACUAAUUUUUGAAUUGGAGAAUCUCAACUAUUGAUUUUAAAACGCAAUUUCAAAAUAACCCAAUUAUUAUUUUGAAUUUAGGAGAAUUUCAACCAUUGAUUUUAUUUCAAAACAACGUUUUAAUACCAAAAUAACAUUGAGCUCAAUCACAAAAAUAACCAAUUUAUUAUUUUGAAUUAAAAUUUUAUUGUCAUUUUUUUCAAGUGAGAACUUGCUUAUUUGUUUGUUUUCCAAUGUUUCUUAUUCUUAUUAAAUUAUAAUUAACUUAUUCUAAAAAUAUAGCAUAUUAUAUAUAUAUAAAAAAAAAAUAGUUUAAUUGUGUUUAGGAAGAUUUUUAAACCAUGUUCAUUUGACUUAAUAACACUAAUUAAAUUAUAAUUUCUAUCCAUAUUAGUUUAAAAGUAUAAUUAUUUCAAUAUAAUGCGGUCUUAUCAAAAGUCUUUUAUGUGUAAUUAAUUUACAAUAUACAGUUAUGAGUUUAUCAAAGUUUUUCAUUAUAAUUAAUUUAUGAUAUGCAAUUUCGAGUAUACAUGUUAAUAACGUAGAGAAUCAUAUCCUAACCUCUUCCUAAUAUCUCAGAUUAAAAAGAUAUCAACAACUUUAUUCUUUUUUUUAUUCCACCAGUGUUAAAGUUCUUAACAACUUUAUUCAUUUUUUUAUUUCAAAAUAAUCAUAUUAUUAAUUUUUAUCGGCUAAAUCUCCAUGUUUUCGUCAACCUUUAAUAAAUUGUAAAUUAAAAUUAGUUUUCUAAUUAGAUCUUAAUUUACUUUUAAAUUUUGAAUUUAAAAAUUAAAAUUAGUUUUUGUAUCAAGAUUUCAACAUUUUUUUAAUUAUUUGGAAAUUAAACCUCACCUUUUUUUUUUGUUUUAAAAUAAGUUCAAUUUUUCCAUCCUUAAUAAUUUAGAAAUUAAAAUUAGUUUUCAUAUUAGAUCUUAAUUUAUUUUUCCAAAAUAGCCCAUGUUUUUGUAUAAAAUCUCCCAAAUUCCAUCUACAUUUUAUUAAAUAAUUAAUAUAAAUAUAUAUAUUUUAAAAAAUCAGCUAAAUUUUUUUUAAGAGACGAGGAAGAUAACUUUUGUAUUUUUUUGCUCUAAGUGAAAGUUUUUGUUUUUCCACCCGAAGCGUUUGAGAUAGACUUGAAAAUCAAAGAUGGAAGAUGGAAAAUGAAUAUAAUAUUUGCAUGCUUCAAAUAUUUAUAUUAUUCUUUUUGAAAAUGCACGAUGAAGUUUCUUUUUUAAAAUGCAUGAUGGAGUUGAAGAUAAACCUCAAACUUCAAACGGAAGAGGGUAAAGAUUGGAGGUUGCCGCUUCAAGGUGGAAAGAUUAGGGCUUGUCCACUCGAGAAAGAUGAGAUCAAAAAAGAAAAAUGGAUAUGAAGGAAGAGAAAAUGGAAGAUGAGAAACGAAAAAUAAAAAAAAAAUGUAUUUAUUAUAUUUUAGGGUAGUUUACACUUUAUCUACUUAAUGGUAUUUUGGGUUUUUGCAAAUUCUUAUUUAUUGUUUUUCUUUUUUUCAUUUGGUCAUUUUUGAACUUUAAAAUUGCUAUUAUUCUUUAAAAGUACGUUUUUGGAAAUUUUUUUAGAUAUCAACGCCAAGCACUGGAUGAAUGUGCUACAAAAGCUCAACUUCCUUUCACAAAACCCUUCAGCCAUUCACACUCUCAAUCUUUCAUCCCUCCAAUUUCUCACAAAAUCCUCUCUCUCGUCGGACUUCCAUCGACACAGAAAGUAAUCGAAGCAACUCUCCAACUUCUGAAGCCCAAACCAUUUGCUGGAGCUAAUGUGUUCGUCUCUCGUAAUCUUGUCGCUUCGGAGAUGUUCGAUCCUUUUCACGACGCUCUCAAGCAGAAUGGGGCUGAGGUUUUCCUUUGUUGCGAUCCCUCUCAAAACGCCCCUAACGACUAUCAUGUUAUCUCCUCCGCCGAUCACGUACCAAACGUCUCAUCCAUUUCUUGUUCAAUUUAUAUGGCUACUUCGGAUUGGCGAUGUGUUUAUUGGUUGUUGAUUCCUGCUUUCAGGCAAAGUUCGAGGAUCUUCGCGCCAAGGGAUGCAACUUGUUAGGUAUAGUUAAUUUGUAGUUCCAGCCUUUUCUUUCUUUAUUUUGCGGAAUAGAAUUGGAGAGAAAUUUUCGACUGGAGAAUGAGAUUAACAGGAAAUUGAAUGUCUCCAUUAAUUUGUCAAAUGUAUAGUUACCGAAUUGCAGUUAAUAUUUGUCAGUGCAUGCUGCAUGUACGCAGUAGCCGAGUAAUAUAUACUUCACUGCUCUCUCUUUCCGAAUAGCCAAACAUAGUUGUUUGAAAUUCUCAUUUCAGUCCGACGCCGGGGAUUUGGUGCGUCGCUGACAACUUGAAUUUCUGUUGGGAAGGUCCUCAGUGCGUGAUGUCAUGUGCAAAAAGAGCACAGACCUCUUCCUCAACAGGGUUAUACUUGCUGCCUUGCCAUGGAUGGUGUGAAAAUCUUGGCAUCCGGUUUUCAGGAAGAUGAAAAGGUACGUUGCAAAUGUUCCUAGUCCACCCAUCUUUUUUCUUAUUAGUAAUUAGUAAUUUUAUUUUUGUAGAACUAAUGACACAAAAUUGCAUUGCAGGUUGAGAUAGGGAAGUUAGUUAGUGCAAUGGGGGGAGUAUUGCUUACGAAAGCAUCGCUAGAUGUCAGUUUUUUUUCUUCACUCUGUCUACAUUUUGGAAAUAUGAAUGCUAUCAUAGUGUGAGAGGUUUCUUUAUCGACAAAAUUAAUUGGAGUUCGAAAUUUGAAGAAGUCUUUCUAUGACUGUCCCUUGAACUCCAAAGGUUUGCACUCCAUCCCUGUGCCAAACAAAUAGAUGCUUCUUAAAUAUUUUUCUGGAGGAAUUGAGAAAGUAUUGAUGCAAACUUCUGUUAAAUGCGUUAAAUUACGACUUUCAAGCCAAUUUUGAAUGGAUAGCCGGAGUAGAAACUGCAAUUAUUGAUGAAAUUUGAUACUACUGAUGAUUUUUAUUUUUAAUUUUAUAUUAUUAUUAAUUUCGUAACUUAAUUAUGUUCAAUAUCUUAAACCGAUAUUUGAAAUGAGAAUUGAAUAUUUAUCUUGUUUUUAUUUGUUACUGACUAUUUCAAAUAAAUUCGUUAUGAAGGAUGGAUGUUUCUGGGAUACCAAUGGGCACAUUCUCUAUUCUCCUCUUCCUUGUUGUGUCCCUUUGCCUGGAUUUGAAAACAUACGGUUUUGUGUUUCACAAUAUGAUGAUAAAAGACAGAGUAUUGUUAAGAAAUCUGUGUUUUGUACUUGGGGCCAAGUUUGUGGAGAAGCUGACAAAGAAGGUAACCCAUCUAAUAUGCAAGUUCACGGAUGGGACAAAGUAUGAGGCUGCUUGUAAAUGGGGGAAACAAUGCAUUACAGCUGAAUGGAUAUAUGAGUGUGUCAGACAAGUAACUUUGCGAUUUUGUUGCUUUUCAAUUAUAUAUGUUCAUAUACAUGCAUAUCCUGAUAGAAUUCUAGACCCAUUGUGUUUAUAUUUCUUCUCUUAGAUAUGGAAUGAUUUUGUUUGAAAACAAAAUUUUCAGAGAAAGAUUGUUUCUCUUGAUUUGUAUCGCCCAAAAGAAGUUACAGCUCAAGACAGAGUGACAUGCUUGUGCACUGUCAGCCAAUUUCCUACUCAAGCUGCCCCAAUGAUAGCCAAUGAAAGCGUAUCCCAGUUUCCUAUCCAUUCUGCCAUUCUGAGAGACCAAUCAGCUGGAACUAACAGUAGCUCUAUAGGAGCAGCUGAACGAAUAAGUUAUACUAAAAGAAGGCGCAAGUUAUUUGACGAAGCCAUACUUUGCGUUCAGUUUUUGUUGGAAACAGUUCCACUCAAUCUGACUGCAAUUUGAAUUCCACAAAACAAACUACAUCAAAAUCUUCUGUAGUAACUUCACACGUUCCUGAUGUCGCUUCCGCAAUCGAGGACUUGUUGGAGCAGAAAACUAAGGUAAAAUCUGGUUUGAGCUUCAAUUCCAUUACUUCAUUCCAUUUUUAUUAUUAUUUUUUCCUUCAAAUCCUUCUUUUUUCCAUUCUUUUUAAGAUUCAAGAUCAGAAGUCACCUGGAAAGACUGGCUGCAACAAAAGUGUAUCCUUCUAUUAGGUUUAAACUGACUAGUGGACAUGGCCAUUCUUAGCUCUUACAUCCAAAGCAGUUAGUCGUACGAGGACAAUUUCUUUUUCUUUAUCUGUUUUACUGAGUCAAAAACAGCCUUUAGGUUUCAUUAUUACAUUCUGGUGGAGCGAGAGAAAGAACAGAAUCGUCAAAGGGUGUGAGAGUCCUUAUUGCGAUGUUUGAUCCCUUACUGGAUUCUUUGUUUCUUCUGGGACAUUUGUUUUGUUAUUAUUUGCUAGACCUUAUCUCUUUAUUGGAGCCUUUUUUGCACUUUGGUUCUUUUUGUGGGCUUUCUUUUUUAUGUCCGUUUAUUCUUUCAUUUUUUCUAAAUGAAAAUUAAGUUUUUUUUUUUAAAAAAGAAAAAGUUAUUAAAUGCAUCUGCAUUUAAAUAGUAUCUAGUGAUAGACUUUAGUAUCUUAUCGUUGGUUCCCACUCCACCUAAUCUAUUAUUACAUGCAUCUGUGUGCUUGUGUUCUAAUUCCUUCUAAACUAUUUUUACGGGAUUUUCAUAGCCAUGUCUUUGAAGAACUCCCCCUUUUCCUUCCCCAGAAGAAAGUUCACUCACAGUAUGUUCAUUCAGCUGUUGUGAUUAGUUUGUAGAAUUGCCCAUGGUUUAUCUUUUUUGGUAUUUUCAAUUCAUUUUUAAGACAAAUGUUGAUGUUUUAUUUUUGGUGUAGCUGACUUACUUUGCCAUGGACUAUAAGAGCUAAUUGUUCAAACACGUGAAUUUAGGUUCAUCAUCAAAAACCACCGUAGCCGAUCGUGGGGAUCCUAACGAUCCCCGAGUAAGAUUAAAACGUGAUUGCGUUGGGAUUAUGGAUGCUUUCAAACUUGAGCAGCCUUUUCAUCAUGUUGUAAUUCUAGCCAACACCCAUCUUUAUUGGUAAAAUUUUACUUUCUAGUUUCCUUUGCCCUUAUCUGUAAAGUCUAUAUGAUUGCUUUUAGGACCUGCUGUAUUGAAGAACAUCUUAUCCAUCCAAUAUGUAAAGAAAUGGAUAUUUUGUUACAGGGAUCCAGAAUGGGCUGAUGUGAAGCUCGCUCAGGCUAAGUAUCUUUUAUCACGCCUAGCUCGAUUCAAAUCUUUAGUUGCUGAAAAUUUUGAAUGCACACCCUCAGUACUUUUGGCUGGCGAUUUCAAUUCAACCCCAGGAGAUAAGGUUUGUAUUCUAUCUCGAUUUAUCAUUUGCAUUGAAUUUCCUCUUUCUGAAGAUAUGGUAUAUAGCUAUUUCAUUGUUAUUAUCAUGUCUAAAUUACAAGUUUAGUCCCUUGAACUUUGUGUCUCCUUGAUUGCUUAACUUUCCAAAAGUGUCUAAAAGAUCUGCAUGCUUUCAAUUUUGUGUAACCAAGUCUUAAAAUUUUAAAUUCAUACAUUUAGUAGGUUCUGUUAUACAGGGUAAAUUUAGAUCUAUUAAAAACAUAAUUGAAAAUUCAUAGAUUUGUUGGACACAAAAUUGAAAGUUUAAGGACCAAGUAGAUACUGUUUCAAGUUUAGGACUUUUCCAUACAAAAUUGAAAUUUUAGAGAUCAAAUAGAUAUAAACCUCAAAAUUAAGGACUAAACUUAUAAUUUAACCAAUUGUUAUUGAGUAUAUAGACUUAUUUUUAGGCGAAGUGCUAUAGAACGAACUGAUGACCAUAAAGUCACAGGGUGACAUGAAAAGUACUAUUGUAUGGAAUCUCAUAUAGCAGAAACAUAUAAUAGAAAAAUAUUUAGAUAGCUUAUAUUAUCUUUCAAAAAAUAUAAACUACAUAGUUUAAAAUGAAGAUGAACGGUAAAGAGUUUGAUGCUAUAACGUUCUUAACCACACCACCUUUGAAAAUAAGUAAUCUAGAAACUUACUGGUUUCUGUUGGUGCAAAUGUGAACCGAAGUUCAAAGAUUGUUCUCUUAUUUUUUUGUCUCUUGUUGGAGAUCAUCUCUUAUAAUUUAUUUUUUAUGAAUGUUAAAAAGUUCAUUUGUUAAUUUAAAGUCUGAACAAAUGUCUGUUCCACCGUAGUCUCAAAUACCCUUAUAAAUUGUUAGCAUGGGCAUUUUGGUCCCUCGUCCUUUUAAGUCUAGUUUACAUUUAGUCCAUAUAAUUUCACAUGUUACACGUUUACUUAAGAAUUUUGAAUUCAAAUUCCAUUUGGUCUUUAGAUUAUGUUACACAUUUACUUAAGAAUUUUGAAUUCAAAUUCCAUUUGGUCUUUGGAUUUUAAAAUGCAAGAUUUAGACUUGAGUUUUGGGUUUUGUUUCAAUGUGGUCCAAAUUUUAACAAUUUUUCUUCCUUGUUAAAUUAAAAAAAAUCACAAUCAUAUUUAUUUUACAUUAAUUAAUUAAAACUUAACUCAAAAGCCAAAAUGGUAUUAUUGCAAAUUCUAGAGGAAAGAUUUAAAAUAUUUAAAAUGAGAGGACUAAAUGGAAACUAAACUAAAAAACCGAAAAGGUUAAAAAGACCGUAACAUUUUGGAACCUAGGGCCAAAUGAAAAUUAAACUAAAAGGGUUAGGGGUAUUAAUACCAAUAACCUUUGAACUUAACGAAAAAUGAAAACUAGUUUAAAAAUCUGGAAAGUAAAAAUUGUAUAUUUUUUUCCCAAUUAUCAAAAUAAAAUCUUGAAUAAAAAUAUCCUAACAUCAUCUUCUUAACUUGACAAAUAAAAAAAAAAACAAAAAAAUAAAAAACAUGUGUAACUUAGGUUGCAUCCAUCAUCGUGCAACUCAAAUUGCACACCAAUAAAAAUAUACCUUGACAAAAAAAAAAUAGAUUUUUUUUCUUUAUGUAGUAAAAGUAGUAUGCUAGACUGCACAUAAUCAUGGUAAAAUAUAAAUAAGUUCCUUACCUUUCUCCUUACCUUUCUCUUUUUACAACUCAUGAACUCUAACUAUUGGAGGCCUAAUACUUGCAACUUCUCACAAUUAUUUAAUUAUACCAAUACCUUGUCUCAGACAACUCUCCUUCUGGAUUUUCCCCUGAAUGUUUGGAUCAAGAGCUUCCUUUACCCCUUUCUAGUGUUUAUGACAACAUUCUAGGAAGUGAACCUUCGUUUACAAACUUCACCACUGACUUCACUCGCACUCUUGAUUACAUAUUUUUCUCACCUUCAUAAGACCCGUUAGCUUUCUAGAGCUCCCAGAAUCAGAAUGGCCAGAGAUUAUUGGUGGGUUACCUAAUCAUAGCUACCCAAGUGAUCGUCUUCCUAUUGCUGCUGAAUUUGAAAUCACAAUGGAAUAAGUUCAGCAUUUCAAAUCUUAUCCCUAUUUUUUUCUCCUUCUAUUCAUAUUGAUUGUUUCUUUUAUUUAAAUGGAACAGACAUUUGUUCUAGGUUCCAUUGAAGUUGAGAAUCAUUGUAAACCUAGAUCUUUCUUUUUUUUCUUUGCUAUGGUUAAAUUAUAAGUUAAUGUUUGUUCUGUUACAAUUUUGUUCCUAUCAAUAUUGAUUAGUAUUAAAGUUAGUAUACUAUUUUGGACGUUGUUAGUUCUUGUACUUUUAUAUGUCGUACUAUCAAUACAUCUUAAAUAAUUUAGUUCAUCUGAUUUCAACAAAUCGUAACAACAUUU